AAUUACACUUCUCAUAUUAUACAUUAGAUAGUAUCAAAUCAAUUCUGAUCUUGGGAUCACGCCGCUUCUGAUUAGUCCUCACGCCGCUUCUGAUUAGUCCUCACAAUUUGUGUUGACAUACACCCACCAAAAUAAAACUACAAUUUUUGUAUAGUAGCUCAGAGAUAAUAAAAGUUGGUUUAAGAAAGAAGAGCGAAACAGGUAGAAACAGAGUGAGAGCAGAGAGAGUGGGGUUACCUAUUAUAACAGAAUGGCCCUGAACGAUUUUUUCGCUGGGGAGAUCGCGACGGAGCUUCUGAAAAUGCUGAUAAACAUCUCCCGGAAGUCCCUACUCUGCCGCGGCAGCGCCGACCAGCUCAUCAGCUACAUCCAGGACCUCCUCCCCAC
rnacentral:lncRNA from 1 species